rnacentral:rRNA from 1 species
UGGGGAAUAUUGCACAAUGGGCGCAAGCCUGAUGCAGCCAUGCCGCGUGUAUGAAGAAGGCCUUCGGGUUGUAAAGUACUUUCGGCGAGGAGGAAGGCGUUGUGGUUAAUAACCGCAGCGAUUGACGUUACUCGCAGAAGAAGCACCGGCUAACUCCGUGCCAGCAGCCGCGGUAAUACGGAGGGUGCAAGCGUUAAUCGGAAUUACUGGGCGUAAAGCGCACGCAGGCGGUCUGUCAAGUCGGAUGUGAAAUCCCCGGGCUCAACCUGGGAACUGCAUCCGAAACUGGCAGGCUAGAGUCUUGUAGAGGGGGGUAGAAUUCCAGGUGUAGCGGUGAAAUGCGUAGAGAUCUGGAGGAAUACCGGUGGCGAAGGCGGCCCCCUGGACAAAGACUGACGCUCAGGUGCGAAAGCGUGGGGAGCAAACA